AGGUGUGAUUAUACAGCCACUAAUGUACAGAAUCCUAUCAGAACUCCGAAGUUAAACGUGCUUCGGCGAGAGUAGUACUAAGAUGGGGUAGUACUAAGAUGGGUGACCUCUUGGGAAGUCCUCGCAUUGCACCCC
rnacentral:rRNA from 1 species